GUUUGCAGUUGAUUCUGUGAUCGCCAUACUCUGCCGUUUGAAUGUGAGACAUUGGCGACCCUGGAGGCAUGGCAGGUCAACGAGCCGGUCAAGCAUUGCCAGAGUUGCUGGAGAG
rnacentral:ribozyme from 1 species